rnacentral:rRNA from 1 species
AGCGAACGCUGGCGGCAGGCCUAACACAUGCAAGUCGAACGAACCUUUCGGGGCUAGUGGCGGACGGGUGCGUAACACGUGGGAACGUGCCUUUAGGUUCGGAAUAACUCAGGGAAACUUGUGCUAAUACCGAAUGAGCUCUUCGGGGGAAAGAUUAAUCGCCUUUAGAGCGGCCCGCGUCUGAUUAGCUAGUUGGUUGAGGUAAUGGCUCACCAAGGCGACGAUCAGUAGCUGGUCUGAGAGGAUGAUCAGCCACAUUGGGACUGAGACACGGCCCAAACUCCUACGGGAGGCAGCAGUGGGGAAUCUUGCGCAAUGGGCGAAAGCCUGACGCAGCCAUGCCGCGUGAAUGAUGAAGGUCUUAGGAUUGUAAAGUUCUUUCACCGGGGACGAUAAUGACGGUACCCGGAGAAGAAGCCCCGGCUAACUUCGUG